GGCGGCGUGCCUAAUACAUGCAAGUCGAGCGCGAGAUUGAGGAGCUUGCUCCUCAUGAUCGAGCGGCGGACGGGUGAGUAACACGUAGGCAACCUACCCUUGAGAUUGGGAUAACUACCGGAAACGGUAGCUAAUACCGGAUACGACUUUCCUGCAUAAGCAGUUAAGUUAAAAGGCGGAUUUAUCUGCCGCUCAUGGAUGGGCCUGCGGUGCAUUAGCUAGUUGGUGAGAUAGUGGCUCACCAAGGCGACGAUGCAUAGCCGACCUGAGAGGGUGAUCGGCCACACUGGGACUGAGACACGGCCCAGACUCCUACGGGAGGCAGCAGUAGGGAAUCUUCCGCAAUGGACGCAAGUCUGACGGAGCAACGCCGCGUGAGUGAUGAAGGGUUUCGGCUCGUAAAACUCUGUUGUUAAGGAAGAACACUUGAGGUAGUAACUGGCCUUGAGAUGACGGUACUUAACCAGAAAGCCACGGCUAACUACGUG
rnacentral:rRNA from 1 species